AUUGAACGCUGGCGGCAGUCUUAACACAUGCAAGUCAAACGUGUGGCGGAUGGGUGAGUAAUGCUUGGGCAUCUAGCUUAUGGCGGGGGAUAACUACGGGAAACUGUAGCUAAUACCGCUUACCAUAGAAUGAGCCCAAGUGGGAUUAGGUAGUUGGUGAGGUAUAGGCUCACCAAGCCGACGAUCUCUAGCUGGUCUGAGAGGAUGACCAGCCACACUGGGACUGAGACACGGCCCAGACUCCUACGGGAGGCAGCAGGGGGGAAUAUAGAGCAAUGGGGGCAACCUGACGAAGCCAUGCCGCGUGAAUGAAGAAGGCCUUAGGGUGGUAAAGUUCUUUCGGUAGCGAGGCGUUAACUAAAGAAGAAGUACAGGUUAACUCCGUUCCAGCCGCCGCGGUAAUAC
rnacentral:rRNA from 1 species